UCUAAUCUCUACUUAUUCAUUUCAUCUCCUUCAGCUUCAAAAGCUUUUCCAAUCAUGGGUGUUCAAGAAUACGCCUCAGAAAUCGUCUCCGCCAUCCCCGCAGCCAAGGCAUUCAAGGCCUUCGUCCUCGAUUCGGACACCCCAUCCCCAAGGUUGUUCCUCAGGCUAUACACAGCAUCGAGCUCCUUGAAGGUGAUGGUGGCCCUGGCUCCUUGAAACAGAUCAACUUCGGUCCAAGGAGCAAAUACAAGUUUGUGAAGCACAAAGUUUUGGCACUAGACAAAGAGAAGUUGAGGUAUAAGUAUGCCAUAAUCGAAGGGGACGUGAUCGGAGGGGCGAUAGAGAAGACAGAGGCGGAGAUAACAGUCGAGGCAUCAGCGGAGGGCAGGUCGAUCCUCAGGAGCAACAACAAAUACUACACCAAAGAGGAUGUGGAGUUGAACCCAGAGGAGAUUAAAGUGGCCAAGGACAAAUCCGCAGGCCUUUUCAAGGCCAUCGAGGCCUAUCUCUUGGCCAACCCCGAUGCCUAAACUUCUUCUAAUUCACUACAUAUGCUUCUGGGUGUUGCUCUUUCUUUUUAUUUUUUUAUUUUUUAUUUUUUUUGUAUUUGUUCUUUUUCCAUUUUUAUUGCCUAAUAUCAAAACCGCAACGUUUUGAUUUUUAAAAAUGUGCCUUUAUUUUUCUAUUUGCAAUGAAGACACAUUUCAUC